rnacentral:rRNA from 1 species
AAAAGUCGUAACAAGGUUUUCGUAGGUGAACCUGCGGAAGGAUCAUUAAUGAAUUCGGGCGCUCGACUCUGAAAUAUUGAGAUCGGCCCCAUUUCUUAAUCCACUUCACACUUGUGCACAUUUUUCCUACUUUCCUUCGGGAGAGUUUGAAAAGCUCUUGUGAUUUUAAUCAAGUCCAGGAUGUGAAUCCAAUUUGAAUAAGUUGUAAAACAACUACAAACGGUGGAUCUCUUGGCUCUCGUAUCGAUGAAGAACGCAGCGAAACGCGAAAUGUAAUGUGGAUUGCAGAAUUCAGUGAAUCAUCGAAUCUUUGAACGCAUCUUGCACUCUCGAAUCACUAUCGAGAGUAUGCCUGUUUGAGCGUCGCGAAACUCUCAACCCCGCCUCAUGCUUUUUAUUGCGUGUGGGUAGCUUGGGCUUGGAUCAUGAUCUUUGCAGUAAUGCGCUAGCAGAACUGCUGGAUUGAAAUACAACAAGCUGAAUCUAUAUACUUGCGGCUUGACCUGUCGUUGUAAGCACACAAAUGCAUUCGAUGGGGACGCGAGAAAAUGGGAUGAGCUUUCCAAAUGUGUUACACUUUGCAGCUUCUAUUAACUUAGAGCUCUUAGUGCAUUCUGACCUCAAAUCAGGUAGGAUUACCCGCUGAACUUAAGCAUAUCAAUA